rnacentral:tRNA from 1 species
GGGGAAUUAGCUCAAGUGGUAGAGCGCUUCUUUAGCAUGCAAGAAUCAGUGGGAUCAAUGCCCACAUUCUCCA